rnacentral:rRNA from 1 species
GGUGAACGCUGGCGGCGUGCCUAAUACAUGCAAGUCGAGCGAACAGAUAAGGAGCUUGCUCCUUUGACGUUAGCGGCGGACGGGUGAGUAACACGUGGGUAACCUACCUAUAAGACUGGAAUAACUCCGGGAAACCGGGGCUAAUGCCGGAUAACAUUUAGAACCGCAUGGUUCUAAAGUGAAAGAUGGUUUUGCUAUCACUUAUAGAUGGACCCGCGCCGUAUUAGCUAGUUGGUAAGGUAACGGCUUACCAAGGCAACGAUACGUAGCCGACCUGAGAGGGGGGGCGGCCACACGGAAACGGAACCAGGCGCCAGACUCCUGCGGGCGGCAGGAGUGGGAAAUCUUCCGCAAGGGGGAAAAGCCUGAGGGAGCAACGCCGCGUGAGUGAUGAAGUUCUUCGGAUCGUAAAACUCUUUUAUGGGGGAAAAAAAAUUGUGAAAGUAACUGUGCACGUCUUGAGGUAACCUAAUAAAAAAGCCGGGGCUAACUACGUC